AGAGUUUGAUCCUGGCUCAGAACGUACGCUGGCGGCACGCCUAACACAUGCAAGUCGAACGAAGUAGCAAUACUUAGUGGCAGACGGGUGAGUAACAUGUAGGUAUCUGCCCUUUGGCCUGGAAUAACACGAGGAAACUUGUGCUAAUACCGGAUAAGUCUUUACGGAGAAAGCUUUAUGCACCAUUGGAUGAGCCUGCACUUGAUUAGUUUGUUGGUGGGGUAAUGGCCUACCAAGACUGUGAUCAAUAGCUGAUUUGAGAGGAUGAUCAGCCACAUUGGGACUGAGACACGGCCCAAACUCCUACGGGAGGCAGCAGUGGGGAAUCUUGCACAAUGGAGGAAACUCUGAUGCAGCGAUGCCGCGUGAGUGAAGAAGGCCCUUGGGUUGUAAAGCUCUUUCGUCGGGGAAGAAAAUGACUGUAUCCGAAUAAGAAGGUCCGGCUAACUUCGUGCCAGCAGCCGCGGUAAUACGAAGGGACCUAGCGUAGUUCGGAAUUACUGGGCUUAAAGAGUUCGUAGGUGGUUGAAAAAGUUAGUGGUGAAAUCCCAGAGCUUAACUCUGGAACUGCCAUUAAAACUUUUCAGCUAGAGUAUGAUAGAGGAAAGCAGAAUUUCUAGUGUAGAGGUGAAAUUCGUAGAUAUUAGAAAGAAUACCAAUUGCGAAGGCAGCUUUCUGGAUCAUUACUGACACUGAGGAACGAAAGCAUGGGUAGCGAAGAGGAUUAGAUACCCUCGUAGUCCAUGCCGUAAACGAUGUGUGUUAGACGUUGGAAAUUUAUUUUCAGUGUCGCAGGGAAACCGAUAAACACACCGCCUGGGGAGUACGACCGCAAGGUUAAAACUCAAAUGAAUUGACGGGGACCCGCACAAGUAGUGGAGCAUGUGGUUUAAUUCGAAGAUACGCGCAGAACCUUACCAACACUUGACAUGUUCGUCGCGACUCUAAGAGAUUAGAGUUUUCGGUUCGGCCGGACGAAACACAGGUGCUGCAUGGCUGUCGUCAGCUCGUGUCGUGAGAUGUUGGGUUAAGUCCCGCAACGAGCGCAACCCUCACUUUUAGUUGCCAUCAUUAAGUUGGGCACUCUGAAAGAACUGCCAGUGAUAAGCUGGAGGAAGGUGGGGAUGACGUCAAGUCCUCAUGGCCCUUACGUGUUGGGCUACACACGUGCUACAAUGGUAUCUACAACAGGAAGCAAGACUGCGAAGUUAAGCAAAUCCCUAAAAGAUACCUCAGUUCGGAUUGCACUCUGCAACUCGAGUGCAUGAAGCUGGAAUUACUAGUAAUCGUGGAUCAGCGUGCCACGGUGAAUGCGUUCCCGGGUCUUGUACACACCGCCCGUCACACCAUGGGAGUUGGUUCUACCUUAAGGCAAGGUUUCAAACCCUUGACCACGGUAUAGUCAGCGACUGGGGUGAAGUCGUAACAAGGUA
rnacentral:rRNA from 1 species